UGUAUCGGAAGCCCGACGAGGAUGAGAACCUCCGGGGCAAGAGAGGUUCGACUCGAGCGCAGCGAGAGAACGUUGCGUCAGCAACGGCCUGCAGGGCGAGCCACGCAGUGGCGAGUCAUCCUCAUCACCGGCA
rnacentral:sRNA from 1 species